CGUUACACCCUAACUACUUCCGCUUCAAUGUUUUCGUUUAUAUUGGAUUCUUCUUCGGGUAGUGGUGGUUGUUGCCGGCGGUCUCUGAUUCGCUUGGUGCAGCUCGGGAACUGAUUGGCCACUGACCAGUGUUUGUUUCUCUUAAGGAGGAUCGUUGUUCAAGGUUUUUGGUGACAUUAGGCUGGAGUGGCUUGUCGGUUCCCGCCUUGCAUCAACUGAAUCGGAGACCGCGAGCGGUGAAGGUUUCAUGGAUCUCUGCUGCUUCAUUGAUGUUUGUGUAUGCAGCGUGUUUAGAUCUCAGGUUUGGAGACUUCCGUCUUUAUGAUGAUUUGCAGCUCUGUCGCUAUUGCUUUGUAGAGGUGGAGAAUGUGUGAGCUUUUACGGGAAGGAAAAUCUAUUGGAGAACAUUUGGCAGCCAUGGAUUUGAGGUCUGCUUCCUUGCUUUGGGGAUUUUUUACUUGGAUGUAUUGCUCUAAAGUCAUUGAACUUAUGUGAAGACCAAGUUGAUGGGUUACCAUGGAAGAAGAGGUUAUGAAGCUAUAUAGUAUCAAAGUCGAGUAAUAACCAUGGGUAUGACAAAAAUUUGGAAGACCUAACUUUGUGGAGGAGGUGUCACGAUGAUGAUGUCGAGACCAGGUUUGUAUAAUUGCUGAAAAAAUAUCGUGUGCCCUGCCGACCAUGGCUUUCAGGUUUUUCUUUUUUCUUUUUAACUAAUCAUGUCAGACUGUCGGUAGCUAAAGGGUAUACCAUUUUUGACAAAAGUGGUUCAAAUUCUUGUGCAAUUUGCUGGGUGGUUCUUUGCUCAAAUUGUCAUCGCCUUGUUCCUUUUUUCUUUCUCUGUCUGUUCAAUCUAAGAUUCCCUUUGGCCUUUACGGUUCAAAUUGUCAAA